rnacentral:pre_miRNA from 1 species
CAUGUACUCCCUCCGUCCAGAAAUACUUGUCAUCAAAAUGAAUAAAAGAGGAUGUAUCUAGAUGUAUUUUAGUUCUAGAUACAUCCCUUUUUGUCCAUUUUGAUGACAAGUAUUUUCGGACGGAGGGAGUAGUUA